GCUGAUCUUGAAGGUGAUGAUAGGUCAUAAGCCGCAGCCUCUGCAAGGAUGUUACAACCCCUGGAGCAGGCGGAAAGUACAUGUGUGCUUGGAAUGCAACAAAAGGGAAAAGUCACUAGUGUGGUUUGGACAGGGCCUUGCAUUUUUAACCCUUUACCCAAACCUAAAGAAAACACAACUCUGUUAGCAACUUAGAAGUUUUUUCCUAGAGUGACAUGAUUAAGGUGGGGGUGUGACUAGUUAUCUGAGUCAUUUUUUUCAGACAGUUUGGCUUAGUGGUUAAGAGCUUUGGUACCAGAUGGAAUGGGUUCAAAUCCCAACUCUCUCCCUUAACAUCUGCAUGAUUCUGGGAAAGUUGAUAAAGUUUCUGAUGCUCACAUUCCUCGUCUAUAAAACAGAGAAAACACUUGUGUUCUGGGGUUGUCCUCAAGAAUAUGAGUAAAGAACUGGGGUUUUCCUCUCUGCCUUUAGCAGUAAGGACGCCUUUAGCAGUAAGUGUACCUGG
rnacentral:lncRNA from 10 species